rnacentral:rRNA from 1 species
UACGAAGGUCCCGAGCGUUAUCCGGAUUUAUUGGGUUUAAAGGGUGCGUAGGCGGGUUAUUAAGUCAGUGGUGAAAGCCUUCAGCUUAACUGAAGAACUGCCAUUGAUACUGAUGAUCUUGAGUAUGAUUGAGGUGGGCGGAAUGUGUCAUGUAGCGGUGAAAUGCUUAGAUAUGACACAGAACACCGAUUGCGAAGGCAGCUCACUAAGCCAAUAACUGACGCUGAUGCACGAAAAGCGUGGGGAGCAAACAGG